UGAUGACACUUCUAAGCACGAAGUGUCAUUCUUAGCACGAACUCACGGCUAUAUAUAUGUCAGACAAGUAUACACUGUCAUUACCAACUACAGGCUUUUAUUUAAUCAGCAGCUGUCAUUACCACAGAUCUUUAUUUAAUCAGCAACAUAACAUCAUAAUGUAUUAGUUAGAUCGUCGUGACAAAGACACUCGCGAGCCGGCUAAGUGACAUCCUUAGCGGGAAGGGGGCGAGUUUUAGACGGCUCGUGUUUUGUAGUGGACUGCAGCUGCAACUCCAUCUCCUUUUAAAAACACUGUAAAACCACAAAUAUGCAUCCAUCUACAUAUCAUUUAAACUAAUGUAUUAACUUAUUUUUCUUGUGUCUUGUGACGUAUACUGUGCUGUCAGAUCAGCACAGGCUGUCACCACCGGCAAUCACAUGACUGCGACUAGUCGACAUGAAAUGUAAAAACUCGGGAGACGUCCUAGAGUCGACUAGUCGACUAAUUGGUUCAACCCCUAACAGGUAGGCUUCUGGUCUGUUCCCAAAGCGGUUUUCAGAUAUCUAUUGUAUAUCCUUCAAUCGUGUACCUCUGUUAACUUGCAGACGGGUGAUUAAUCAACCGAACGUUGUAAAGAUCACGGUUGGUCAAGAGGGAACUGGCCAGGUGUAUUGCAGAUCCCCCGCUCAAGGAGUGGCUGAAGGGUCUAGAAUACAGCAAGGAUUGUCUGGCUUCAUGCUGACCAGACUGGCGAGCUAACCGUUUAAGCGGAUCCGGAAAUACAACACCUAUUAUCUGAGGAAACUCUUCCGAACUGGUUGGAGAUUCAGCCCAACAAGUCUUCACUGAAGGAACUGGAUUAUUAUUAUUAUUUUGUUUUUUCCCUUUCAUCAUCAACAAAGUCUGGUUGACUUCCUUGGUAUAAGGAACUCUUUUGGACUUUAAAUUGUGGACUAACUUGUAUAUAUUGUAAAUAUUAAUACAACUCACCAAUUUUUGCACCAUC